CUGCAUGUAAAAAAAUUGGGUCAACAAAGCAAUGAAAGUGUUGAAGCAGCGCUCCCUUCGCCGACUAUAUAAACUCGUCCGCCGUCGUUGCAAACCAUCAGUUGUUCAACUCGUCAUCCCAAGACAACAUCAUGAAACUGUUCGUCGUUGCCGCUCUUUUGGCCGUUGCUGCCGCCGCUCCUUCCAGCUACGAGCCGGCCUACAAAGCCCCUGCUCCCUAUGGCGCUCCUAGCUACAAGGAUAACAAGUACGCCGACAUCACCGUCACUAGCCAAUCGGACGAGCGCAACAUCGAUGGCAGUGGUGCAUGGAGCUACGCCCAGUCUGACUACGCCACUCGCGACGAGUCCUACGCCCAGAAGAAAUUCCAAGGCAAAACCUACGACUCUUACGGCAAGGAAUCCUACGGUGAAGUCCAGGGACACACCAACAAAGGAUCCUCUUACUGGGUUUCCCCUGAAGGCCAGAAAUUCACUUUGACCUGGGUUGCUGAUGAUGCUGGAUUCCAGCCCAAGGGUGACCACUUGCCCGUCGCUCCCGUCCACGUCUACGAGCUCCCCGUUGCUCCAGUCCAUGAAUACGAACUCCCAGUUGCCCCCGCCCUGCCCUACCAACGCACCGGACUCGGCUAUUAAAAUCCUGACAAAUAUCGUGUCAUCUAUCCUAUAACUAUGCCAAUGUAAUUUAUUGGUGUGAAAACAAAUAUAUUUUACCUACGCUCACGUUAAAAAAAAAUGUCUAUAGCAGCGCCUUUCGUUUAUUUCAAAAGAACUCGGCAAUGUUUAUUAGUUCAAUCAAGUUUCUCCCCACAACGCUGUUUAACACGUAGAGCUCUUUC